GAUGAACGCUGGCGGCGUGCCUAAUACAUGCAAGUCGAGCGAACGGACGAGAAGCUUGCUUCUCUGAUGUUAGCGGCGGACGGGUGAGUAACACGUGGAUAACCUACCUAUAAGACUGGGAUAACUUCGGGAAACCGGAGCUAAUCCCGGAUAAUAUUUUGAACCGCAUGGUUCAAAAGUGAAAGACGGUCUUGCUGUCACUUCUAGCUGGAUCCGCGCUGCAUUAGCUAGUUGGUAAGGUAACGGCUUACCAAGGCAACGAUGCAUAGCCGACCUGAGAGGGUGAUCGGCCACACGGGAACUGAGACACGGUCCAGACUCCUACGGGAGGCAGCAGUAGGGAAUCUUCCGCAAUGGGCGAAAGCCUGACGGAGCAACGCCGCGUGAGUGAUGAAGGUCUUCGGAUCGUAAAACUCUGUUAUUAGGGAAGAACAUAUGUGUAAGUAACUGUGCACAUCUUGACGGUACCUAAUCAGAAAGCCACGGCUAACUACGUG
rnacentral:rRNA from 1 species